GACCGCGUAGCUCAGUUGGCAGAGCAUUGGGCUAGUAUUCCAAAGAUCGUAGGUUCGAUUCCCACCGUGGACA
rnacentral:tRNA from 1 species